AGAGUUUGAUCCUGGCUCAGGACGAACGCUGGCGGCGUGCUUAACACAUGCAAGUCGAACGAUGAAGCCUUUCGGGGUGGAUUAGUGGCGAACGGGUGAGUAACACGUGGGCAAUCUGCCCUGCACUCUGGGACAAGCCCUGGAAACGGGGUCUAAUACCGGAUAUGACCUGCCAUCGCAUGGUGGUGGGUGUAAAGCUCCGGCGGUGCAGGAUGAGCCCGCGGCCUAUCAGCUUGUUGGUGGGGUGAUGGCCUACCAAGGCGACGACGGGUAGCCGGCCUGAGAGGGCGACCGGCCACACUGGGACUGAGACACGGCCCAGACUCCUACGGGAGGCAGCAGUGGGGAAUAUUGCACAAUGGGCGAAAGCCUGAUGCAGCGACGCCGCGUGAGGGAUGACGGCCUUCGGGUUGUAAA
rnacentral:rRNA from 1 species